GAGUUUGAUCCUGGCUCAGAUUGAACGCUGGCGGCAUGCCUAACACAUGCAAGUCGAACGGAAACGAUGCUAGCUUGCUAGCAGGCGUCGAGUGGCGGACGGGUGAGUAAUGCAUAGGAAUCUGCCUUUUAGNGGGGGAUAACUUGGGGAAACCCAAGCUAAUACCGCAUAAUCUCUACGGAGGAAAGCGGGGGAUCUUCNGACCUCGUGCUGAAAGAUGAGCCUAUGUCAGAUUAGCUAGUUGGNGGGGUAAAGGCCUACCAAGGCGACGAUCUGUAGCUGGUUUGAGAGAAUGAUCAGCCACACUGGAACUGAGACACGGUCCAUACUCCUACGGGAGGCAGCAGUGGGGAAUAUUGNACAAUGGGCGCAAGCCUGAUCCAACAAUGCCGNGUGUGUGAAGAAAGCCUGCGGGUUGUAAAACACUUUCAGUUGGGAANAAAGGUAUUGUGUUAAUAGCACCGUACUGUGACGUUACCAACAGAAGAACCCCGGCUUAC
rnacentral:rRNA from 1 species